rnacentral:rRNA from 1 species
AUCUAUCGUAUAUGUCAAUUGUACCCAAAUGCAUCGCCCAGCAUGUUGAUAUCUCGGUUUUUCAGAGUCUACGGCUAGUGGAAGUGGUCCAACCCUGUUACACUUUGCCAUAUUGAGGAGGGUCCUCUUGGCCUCCCUGUGUGGGAUCCAAGAAGAAACUUUAGAGACAGGGGCCAUCAGAUGCCUAUAAUUACACCUGCCUAUCCUUGUAUGAAUUCUAGUUAUAACGUAUCUACUAGUACUAGGUAUCUGAUGGUCCAAGAAUUCGCACGAGGAUACGAGAUCUGCCAGGCAAUAGAUGAAAAUAGAGCAACCUGGGAUGAUUUAUUCGAGCCAUAUCCAUUUUUUGAAUUAUAUAGAAAUUAUUUAGAGGUUGGUAUCACAGCGAGAAAUGAAGAUGACCUCACGAAUUGGAAAGGUUGGGUAGAGUCUCACCUUCGAACGCUUGUAUUGAAGUUUGAGCGAUAUACACAUGAGAUGCUCCUUGCACAUCCUCAUCCCCGAGAUUUCUCAGAUGGAUCCAGGCCGUUGCAUAGCUUUUACUUCAUGGGUCUUUGGAGAAAAGAAACCGCCCAACCUCAAGAACCCUAGCAAUUUGACAUCAGAGGAAUUGUAAAUGAGUUUAAGGUCGCAGUUCUUGCUUAUGUACAUAGGAGAGAAGGAAUCGAUAUUGAUGUGUCCCAUGUAAAAAGAAAAGAUAUCCCUUUGUUCGUUUUUUCUGGUGGAGUACGCCCUCGUCGUUCUUCCAGAACAGCAGCUAGGAACAGUCGCACUGUUUCUAGGAAUGAUGUUACAGUUGAUGGUCAAGUUGGAAAUCCAUUGACCGCUGAAAGUUGGAGUGAUCCUCAAUCUGUUGUAGAUCGUUCUCGUGGCUAUCAAAGUACUUCUUUGUUGGCCCCUAGUGUAUCAAGUAAAGAAACCCAAAAUAUUUUGAAUGGACAUUCAAAUCUUCACACAGAAUUUGUUGAGCAUAAACAUCCAGGGCACUUUCUUGGAGGUACAUCUUCUCCUGGGAACAUUGUCGUGUCUGAUGUAGUUACACAACCAAUCAAUAUGCCAUCUACUUCAAGCAAUGCUGGUCCAACAAAUGGGUUGGCCAUUUGUUUCAAUAGUUCACAUAAGGAAUCUGAGGGGAUUCCUUCAAAUAACCCCGUGAAUUUCUAUCCAGCUGUGGCUGAUGAGCUGGUAUCGUAUCAAGCUAAGCCUGACAAUAAACAUGUGGUUCCUCUUCAUGGAUCAUCUUUGGAGGGAUGUUCUAGAAGGAGCCCGGGCCAAACACGCAAUUUGAGUUCCCAUGGUAAUAAUCAUCUGAAGCGCAAGGCUGAGGAAGAGCUGGAGGUAUAUUUUUUUUCUUCUAAAAUUUGCAUUCAUAUUUUAGUACUCUGUUUGGCCUUGAGUACUGGUACUCUUUUUUGGUCCUUCCUUGCGAGUUGUACCCUUGCGCUGGAUACUAAUCAUUUUUCCUCUUAA